UAGAGGUUGUCGGGUGGAGAUCUUCUCAAAAUUAGCUUCAUCUAUACCUUGAUAGAUGAGGAAGAGUGUCUUCUUGUCCUUCUUCCUUGAAUCUCAUAGGACAUUAUAUUUUUUUGCUUGCAGUGUUGAAUCAUCUUGAGGCUCAAAAUAGUCUUUUUUGACCACCUCCUAGACGUCCUACGACCCAAGGAGGGCCUUUAUUUGAAUGCUCCAAUUUUCAUAAUUGUC
rnacentral:lncRNA from 1 species